rnacentral:rRNA from 1 species
GAUGAACGCUAGCGGCAGGCUUAACACAUGCAAGUCGAGGGGCAGCAUAAUGGAUAGCAAUAUCUAUGGUGGCGACCGGCGCACGGGUGCGUAACGCGUAUGCAACCUACCUUUAACAGGGGGAUAACACUGAGAAAUUGGUACUAAUACCCCAUAAUAUCAUAGAAGGCAUCUUUUAUGGUUGAAAAUUCCGAUGGUUAGAGAUGGGCAUGCGUUGUAUUAGCUAGUUGGUGGGGUAACGGCUCACCAAGGCGACGAUACAUAGGGGGACUGAGAGGUUAACCCCCCACACUGGUACUGAGCCUCGGACCAGACUCCUACGGGAGGCAGCAGUGAGGAAUAGUGGUCAAUGGACGCAAGUCUGAACCAGCCAUGCCGCGUGCAGGAUGACGGCGCUAUGAGUUGUAAACUGCUUUUGUACGAGGGUAACCGCAGAUACGUGUAUCUGUCUGAAAGUAUCGUACGAAUAAGGAUCGGCUAACUCCGUG